rnacentral:rRNA from 1 species
CCUACGGGCGGCAGCAGUGGGGAAUAUUGGACAAUGGGGGCAACCCUGAUCCAGCCAUGCCGCGUGUGUGAAGAAGGCCCUCGGGUUGUAAAGCACUUUCAGUGAGGAAGAACGCCUGGUGGUUAAUACCCAUCAGGAAAGACAUCACUCACAGAAGAAGCACCGGCUAACUCCGUGCCAGCAGCCGCGGUAAUACGGAGGGUGCGAGCGUUAAUCGGAAUUACUGGGCGUAAAGCGCGCGUAGGUGGCUUGAUAAGCCGGUUGUGAAAGCCCCGGGCUCAACCUGGGAACGGCAUCCGGAACUGUCAAGCUAGAGUGCAGGAGAGGAAGGUAGAAUUCCCGGUGUAGCGGUGAAAUGCGUGAGAUCGGGAGGAAUACCAGUGGCGAAGGCGGCCUUCUGGACUGACACUGACACUGAGGUGCGAAAGCGUGGGUAGCAAACAGGAUUAGAUACCCUAGUAGUC